rnacentral:rRNA from 1 species
AAUUAGCUCUUUAAUUGGGAGAUAGUAUGAAAGGUUUCAUUAAAAAAAUAUUUUUUAUAUAAAAUUAAAAAUUUUAAUUUAGGUGAAAAUACCUAAAUAUUUUUAUUAGACAAAAAGACCCUAUGAAGCUUCUAGUGAAUAUAAUUAUUAAACUAUUUCUUUGGGGUAAAGAUUAAAAUUAUUAUUAAUAAAAAUUAAUAUAAAAAGAGCCUUCCGGAAAAAUAAUAAAGCUCCUCUAGGGAUAACAGCAUUAUACUUAAAAAAGUUCUUAUUAGAAUAAGUGU